rnacentral:rRNA from 1 species
GUAGUUUGACGUCCUGGCUCAGAGCGAACGCUGGCGGCAGGCUUAACACAUGCAAGUCGAACGGGUACCUUCGGGUGCUAGUGGCAGACGGGUGAGUAACACGUGGGAACGUACCUUUUGGUUCGGAAUAAUACAGGGAAACUUGUACUAAUACCGGAUACGCCCUUCCGGGGGAAAGAUUUAUCGCCGAAAGAUCGGCCCGCGUCUGAUUAGCUAGUUGGUGAGGUAAUGGCUCACCAAGGCGACGAUCAGUAGCUGGUCUGAGAGGAUGAUCAGCCACACUGGGACUGAGACACGGCCCAGACUCCUACGGGAGGCAGCAGUGGGGAAUAUUGGACAAUGGGCGCAAGCCUGAUCCAGCCAUGCCGCGUGUGUGAUGAAGGCCUUAGGGUUGUAAAGCACUUUUGUCCGGGAAGAUAAUGACUGUACCGGAAGAAUAAGCCCCGGCUAACUUCGUG